UACGUAGGGUGCAAGCGUUAAUCGGAAUUACUGGGCGUAAAGCGUGCGCAGGCGGCUAUGCAAGACAGAUGUGAAAUCCCCGGGCUCAACCCUGGGAACUGCAUUUGUGACUGCAUGGCUAGAGUACGGUAGAGGGGGGAUGGAAUUCCGCGUGUAGCAGUGAAAUGCGUAGAUAUGCGGAGGAACACCGAUGGCGAAGGCAAUCCCCUGGACCUGUACUGACGCUCAUGCACGAAAGCGUGGGGAGCAAACAGG
rnacentral:rRNA from 1 species